CACUUCACUUCAAUUCUAUUCGGUUUUAUUUACAAAUCUUCAUACUUUAUUUAUAGUAUUGAUUAGUUGGCCUCAAUUUUAAUUAAAUUAUGGUGCUGCUGCAGUCCUAUAAUGCAAAGAUAUCAGAUUUUGGACUUGCUAAGCUGGGUCCUUCAGCAAGUCAAUCCCAUUUGUCAACAACUGUAAUGGGCACACCUGGUUAUGCAGCUCCUGAAUAUAUGCAAACAGGUAAGUAAAUAAGUAAUUCAUUGCUUUUUAGUGCCCAAAUAAAAUGAAUUUCAUUGUUGAAGUAGCUACUAGCUACUACUACUAAUUGAAAUUGACAUAUACUAUAUGAUAUGCAGGGCAUCUAUAUGUAAAGAGUGACGUGUAUGGGUUUGGAGUUGUUUUGGUUGAGAUACUGUCAGGCCAACGAGCCAUUGAUACCAACCGUCCAACCGGGUAUCACAGUCUAACGGACUGGGUCAAACCAUUCCUACAUGAUAAAAGAAAAUUGAAGAAGAUUAUGGAUCCUCAUUUGGGAGAUAAAUAUCCAAGCAAAGCUGCAUUUCCUAUAGCUAAGCUUGCUUCAAAAUGUCUUGCACCCGAGCCCAAAAUGCGCCCGUCCAUGAAGGAUGUUUUGGAGAUCUUGCAAGGAAUUCAAGCUUCCACAAACAAAAACGUGGAGGUUAGGGGUGAUCAUUAAUUAAUUCAUUAUUAAUCCUAUUUAUAUGUGAAUUAAUUAAUGGACCUGUAUGAUUAAAAGGCUAUUGGUUGUUCAUUUUGUAUUUUCCUUGAACUCAAGUAGCUAGCUAGGUGUAUUUCUGUGGUGGCUUCAGUGAGUUGUGGAUUUGAUAUACAUGCCUCUAGUUAGUUCAUCAACAUGUUGUAUUGUAUCGUGUACCUAUAGUUCUAUAUUAGAAAUCCCAAAUAUUCAUUAUGGAUCUUGAUCAAACUCAUGGAUUAUUCUUGUAUUGUCACAAAACCAUAUAUAAAUCUCUUAGACACACUCACAAAAUAUAAACUCUACAUUUUGUUUUGAGGAGUGCUAUAUAGUGCGAAAAUCCUCUCCCGAAAUGAUCACGAAAAUGUACGCGUAUGUCAAAUUCAGCUCAUUUGUUAAUUUAAGGCAAAGCUCUUUUUUGGUUUUAAUUAAAACAAUAAUUAAUAAUACAGCAGUGUAUUGUGGAUCCACCGCUUGGGGAUUUUUUGUAACUAAUUAACCAGUUAUCCAUACUUCACUUCAAUUCAACCAAUAGCUUAUAAAAAAUUCAACACAUGCUAUGCUACUACUUCAUCCAAGAUCUGCUAUACAAUUUGCCACUUUCACAUUUAGUCAUGCGUUACUUUUUAGAACCACCUGUUUUGAUGAUAAAUUAUUGGAAUAAUAAAGAGAGGUUUUGUGAUAAGACGGUGAGAAACUAACAAAUGAAGAGAAAUAGAGCACUGCUAUUUGCAGCGAAAGAAAAUAUCACGAAUGGUUUCACGAAGUAUUGCCAUCAUUGGAUUUUGUUUGGUGGAAAACAUGAACGGUGGGAUGAAAAGAAGGGAGUAUGAGACAGUUUCAACAUACUGCUUACAAGUUGUCGUGAUGCAUUCGUGGGCAAAUUUGUCGCUAUAAGUAGCAUUAUAAGUCAUAUAAGGCGCACAACUCAUUCGGGAUGUGUUCGGGAAUUUUUACUCGUGACAUAUAGCAUUUUCCUUUUGUUUUUUUGAGUUUGUGAGUGUGCGUAAGCCUAAGACUUAUGACUAUGGAAGACUUUCUCCAAACUUAUAUAAGGAUUGUGACUCUCUCUUGAUGCACAAUAUAUUACAGAUAACAAUUAUCAAUAAAUCUCUUACAGGCCUAAUCUGUUAGCAGGUCUCUAACACACAUCAACACUUUACUUUGACCUAAUGUGAUAUACGAUUAGAAAAAUGGGGCAGCACGGAUCAUACUCCAAUACUAUUGUUCAAAGGGAUUAUAAACAUUCACCAUUUUAUUGAUCAUUAUUAUGAUCACCACAACCUUCAAAAAGGCACAGAGAAUAUAGUUGAUCAGUAAAAUCCAAAUGAACAAUUUGACCAUGAUUUGGAAAACUAGUGUGCAAAUCUUAAAAGCCAUACCUUUGGGUUUCUUGUGCUGCAUAUUGAUUACGGGGUGAGUUAUCUUCACCAGAAGUCUUUCGAAUGUCAGAAUCUACAAAGUCCCUAUGCGGACUUCCGAUAGUACUGCUUGCAAAUGGACUAUUAGGAGCACUUUUUGCAGAUCCAUUGUCACUUUUAUUAGAAACAGAUCCAUUGCCUACUCUUUUGUCCCUCCCUUACUAGUAGUAGUAUUAGUAGUAGUAAUUCACUAUGUAUGGUAGUACAUCGUACAAAUACUAUACACGCAUGCAUACGCAUAUAUCGAGCAAAUAAUUAGUGGAAGAAGAGGAAAAGCUAUCUUUCAUUCAUUAUUGAACUGGACAAGAAAGAAAAAGCAGCAAAAGUAAUAUAUUAUUAUUAAUUAAAAAAUAAAAAAAAAGAUAAGAGCAAGAAUAAAAAGCACGUAACAAGAAGAAAAGAAAGAAGAAAUAAUGGUUUGAUUGAUUGGAGAGCAAAAGUGGAACUUGUUGAAAUUCAAACAAAUACACCACCCUGCUGCUCUAAUUAACCUCUUCUUCUUCUUCUUAUUGUUGCAAUUAUACAAUUCAAUGGGGAUUUGCUGGAGUUAUCCACCUAAAGAUCCAACUCCAACUGGAACUGGUAACAAUUCAACAACUUGUUCAUUGUACUCAAACAUUCAUAAUUUGAUUAUUAAUUAAUCUCCUUAUUAUUUAUUCUACUAUGUGUAUGUAGUUACACCUGCAGGGAUAUCUCAUUCUCAGACCACAAGUGGAAGCUAUGGUAUUAGUACCACCACCACCACUGCUUCAACAACUACUACUUUCAAUUCUGUUUCUACCACUUCUUCUGGAAAUGGAAGCAGCAGUAAUAUAUCUUCCUCCAUAAGUAGAAGCAACUUCUCCUCAGUUUCUGAUUAUUCAAUUGGUGGCCAGAUCUUACCUACUUCUAAUUUGAGGAUCUUUACUUUUGCUGAAUUAAAGGCUGCUACCAAGAAUUUCAAACCUGAUACACUUCUUGGUGAAGGAGGUUUUGGUAAAGUUUACAAGGGAUGGCUUGAUUCCAAGAAUAGUAGUGGAACUACUGUUGCCGUCAAAAAAUUGAACUCCGAAAGCUACCAAGGACUCGAGGAGUGGAAGGUACGUAAAUGGAUCACCCUAUUCAAUCAUAGACACAGAUUAAUUAAUUUGGUGAUUGAUUAAUGGUUAAUUGGUUUGUAUAUGUGUUUUGUGCAGUCAGAAAUAAAUUUUCUAGGACGGCUUUAUCAUCCUAACCUUGUUAAGCUGUUGGGAUAUUGUUACGAGGAAUCAGAACUUCUUCUUGUCUAUGAAUACUUGCAGAGGGGCAGUUUGGAACAUCAUCUCUUUGGAAGGGGUGCUUCUGUUCACCCACUUCCCUGGGAUCUCAGGCUUAAGAUAGCAAUUGGAGCAGCCGCUGGCCUUUCCUUCUUGCAUACAUCCGAUCGAGAAAUUAUUUACAGAGACUUCAAGGCCUCUAAUAUACUGCUUGAUGGGGUCAGUUCAUUUCAGUUCAAUUCUAUUCUGUUUUAUUUACAAAUCUUCAUAGUUUAUUUAUAGUAUUAAUUUAAUUAAUUGGCCUCAAUUUUAAUUAAAUUAUGCUGCUGCUGCAGUCCUAUAAUGCAAAGAUAUCAGAUUUUGGACUUGCUAAGUUGGGUCCUUCAGCUAGUCAAUCCCACUUAUCAACAACUGUAAUGGGCACACCUGGUUAUGCAGCUCCUGAAUAUAUGCAAACAGGUAAGUAAAUAAGUAAUUCAUUGUUAAAGUAGCUACUAGCUACUACUUCUAUUUGAAUUUGAUUGAAAUUGAAAUUGACAUUAUAUGCUAUGCAGGGCAUCUAUAUGUAAAGAGCG
rnacentral:lncRNA from 1 species